AAUUAGUGAACUUGAUGAAGUUUAUAUUUUGAAAAUAUACCAUAAGGAAAACUCCUUACUAAUUU
rnacentral:tRNA from 1 species